CUGCUGGUGACUCAGGGCACAGCAGCCCCAGCUCAUGGAAAGAGCACCAGGCCUGGAAUUGGCCGAUCUGCACCUGAACGUGGUCUCUGAUACCUUCUACCCACGUGGCCUUGGGUGCUCUAAUUCCAACUGAUGAUGGGGUUAGACCUCUUGAAAGAUAUCAGUUUUGAAGGAGGGGAAGGAAUGCCUGAAAAGAAUGAAGAGGAAACUCAGAGAUGGGCUGUCGCUCAAACACAGAUGAUGGCACAGUGAUAAUGAAAACCCAAGCUGGACGAUCUAGGAAAGGGGGAAGCCCCACUGCGAUCUGAUGUAAUCUUCACAAAAGCCUUAUGAAAUUGACACCAUUAUCUUCAUUUUACGAAUGAGGAACUAAGGUUCAGAGCUUGUAAGUGAGGGAGUUGGAGUUGGAAUCCAGACCGGUUUGACUCCAUAAUAAUCCCAUUUCUUCGUGAUUCCUGGGGCAAGCACACUGGGUUGUUGACCUCUGUUCAAGACACUCAUUUUCUCUCUAAAUCUAGGGGACUCUUUUGUUACCUU